rnacentral:rRNA from 1 species
UACGUAGGUGGCAAGCGUUGUCCGGAAUUACUGGGCGUAAAGCGCACGUAGGCGGUCUUUUAAGUCGGGGGUGAAAUCCUGGAGCUCAACUCCAGAACUGCCUUCGAUACUGGAAGACUUGAGUCCGGGAGAGGUGAGUGGAACUGCGAGUGUAGAGGUGAAAUUCGUAGAUAUUCGCAAGAACACCAGUGGCGAAGGCGGCUCACUGGCCCGGUACUGACGCUGAGGUGCGAAAGCGUGGGGAGCAAACAGG